rnacentral:rRNA from 1 species
CCUACGGGUGGCAGCAGUAGGGAAUUUUGCACAAUGGGGGAAACCCUGAUGCAGCGACGCCGCGUGAGCGAUGAAGUAUUUCGGUAUGUAACGCUCUAUCAACAGGGAAGAAAAUGACGGUACCUGACUAAGAAGCCCCGGCUAACUACGUGCCAGCAGCCGCGGUAAUACGUAGGGGGCAAGCGUUAUCCGGAUUUACUGGGUGUAAAGGGAGCGUAGACGGCGGUGCAAGCCAGAUGUGAAAGCCCGGGGCUCAACCCCGGGACUGCAUUUGGAAUUGUGCUGCUAGAGUGUCGGAGAGGCAGGCGGAAUUCCUGGUGUAGCGGUGAAAUGCGUAGAUAUUAGGAAGAACACCAGUGGCGAAGGCGGCCUGCUGGACGAUGACUGACGUUGAGGCUCGAAAGCGUGGGGAGCAAACAGGAUUAGAUACCCCAGUAGUC